AUUUCCAUUAUCUCAAGCAAAAACAAAGAGUUCAAAAUAUUGGUGGUAAGAAUUGUCAAAAACUUGUGAUUGCUAUGAUGAAGAGUUUUAUGACAAAUUCACUCAUGUCCAAAUCUAAUAUGGCAGCUGGAAAAGGCAAAGGAUCUUUUUAGUCUAACCAAGCUAUACAACUUAA